CCUUCUCACUAAUUCUUCACAGAGGUAUUAGUAUUAUAAAUUCUAUUUGCAUUAGUUCCUCAAAUUGUUAAAUCAUCUUUCUCAUUAAAGACACUUGCUGGAUUCCUCUUCAGGUUGCAGGAAGCUAUAUUGAACAUCCCUCGUGGAAUAACACGGCUAAUGGAUAUGCUCAUGGAUCGCGAGGUAAUAAGGAACGAAGCCUUAUUGCUUCUUACUCACUUGACGCGUGAAGCUGGGGACAUUCAAAAGAUUGUCAUCUUUGAAGGUGCAUUUGAGAAGAUUUUGAGUAUCAUAAGAGGUGAAGGAAAUUCAGAUGGUGGAGUUGUUGUACAGGUGAUAUAUUAAUACUAUCAGAAAGUUAAGUAAAUUUGUUUUAUGUGAUUCAUGAUGAAGCAUACUAACCCAUGGUUAUGGUCUCUACUUGGAACUUCCAAAUUUAGAUUUCCUCAAGUCUUUGUGCAUACAAAUAUUUUUCUUUUGGGAUAGAUAAUAGGAGUUUAGUUAAAUGAGUCUUGCAGAGAGCUUACUUGUUUUGUUUUCUAAUUAUGA